rnacentral:rRNA from 1 species
UACAGAGGUCCCAAGCGUUGUUCGGAUUCACUGGGCGUAAAGGGUGCGUAGGUGGCCAGGUAAGUUCGAUGUGAAAUCUCCGGGCUUAACCCGGAAAGUGCAUUGAAUACUAUCUGGCUAGAGGGUUGGAGGGGAGACUGGAAUUCUCGGUGUAGCAGUGAAAUGCGUAGAUAUCGAGAGGAACACCAGUGGCGAAGGCGAAUCUCUGGACAGUUACUGACACUGAGGCACGGAGGCCAGGGGAGCAAACGGG